UGGACAGAUUAUUGUAUUCGACUGUAUUCACGGCGUGAAAUAAGGGAUUACACUGUUUUUAAACGGAAAGUGAAUCAAUUAACAUAAUAGACUCUU
rnacentral:pre_miRNA from 1 species